GGGCGUGAUGAUGGGGGCCUUACGGCCCGAAUCCGGUGAUCCGUGGUGCCGAGAAAAGCUUCGGCGUCAGGCGCGUUGCCGCCCGUACCCCAAACCGACACUGGUGGUCAGGUAGAGAAUACCAAAGCGAUCGAGCGAAUCCUGGUCAAGGAACUCGGCAAAUUGCUCCCGUGCCUUCGGCAUAAGGGAGACCCCCUGCGGUGAUGAGCGGCGGGGGGUGGCACAGGCCAGGGGGUAGCGACUGUUUACCAAAAACACAGGAGCGUGCGAAGGCGCAAGCCGCUGUAUACGCUCUGACGCCUGCCCGGUGCCGGAAGGUUAAGAGGAUCCGUCAGCUUUCUGCGAAGCGGUGAAUUCAAGCCCCGGUAAACGGCGGUGGUAACUAUAACCAUCCUAAGGUAGCGAAAUUCCUUGUCGGGUAAGUUCCGACCUGCACGAAUGGCGUAACGACUUCCCCACUGUCUCGACCAGGAGCUCGGCGAAAUUGCAGUACGAGUAAAGAUGCUCGUUAAGCGCAGAAGGACGAAAAGACCCCGGGACCUUUACUAUACCUUGGUAUUGGCAUUAGGCGCGGAUUGUGUAGCAUAGGCGGGAGGCUUCGAGGCGGGUGCGCCAGCAUCCGCGGAGCCGCAAGGUGAAAUACCGCUCUGUUCUCGUUUGAUGUCUAACCUCGAACAGUCAUCCUGUUCAGGGACAGUGCCUGGCGGGUAGUUCAACUGGGGCGGUUGCCUCCCAAAGAGUAACGGAGGCGCUCAAAGGUCCGCUCGGCCCGGUUGGCAAUCGGGUGUCGAGUGUAAUCGCACAAGCGGGCUUGACUGCGAGAUCGACGGAUCGAGCAGGGACGAAAGUCGGAGAUAGUGAUCCGGUGCCGGCGCACGGGCGCGGCAUCGCUCAACGGAUAAAAGGUACCCCGGGGAUAACAGGCUGAUCAUUCCCAAGAGUCCAUAUCGACGGGAUGGUUUGGCACCUCGAUGUCGGCUCGUCGCAUCCUGGGGCUGGAGCAGGUCCCAAGGGUUCGGCUGUUCGCCGAUCAAAGCGGCACGCGAGCUGGGUUCAGAACGUCGUGAGACAGUUUGGUCUCCAUCCUCUGCGCUCGUUGGAAUCUUGAGGAGGCCUGCCCAUAGUACGAGAGGACCUGGGUGGACGAACCUCUGGUAUGCCGGUCGUCACGCCAGUGGCGCGGCCGGUUGGCUACGUUCGGAAGGGAUAACCGCUGAAAGCAUCUAAGCGGGAAGCCUUCUCCAAGAUAAGGAUUCCAUGCGGCCCGAGCCGCUGAAGACCCCAUGCAGAACACGUGGUCGAUAGGCCGGACGUGGAAGCCCCGCGAGGGGUGGAGCCGACCGGUACUAAUGGUCGAGAGC
rnacentral:rRNA from 1 species